GAGUUUGAUCAUGGCUCAGGAUGAACGCUGGCGGCGUGCCUAAUACAUGCAAGUCGAGCGGCAGCGGGCUCACCUAUUUCCUGGUCUCCUUAUAAGGACAGGACGCGGAGAUUUUCUCGGAGAGAAAAUCGGCCGCAUCCACCCCAGGGGGGAUGAAUGACAAGGGAAGAGUGAGCGCCGGCGAGCGGCGGACGGGUGAGUAACACGUGGGAACAUACCCCAGACUGAGGGAUAAGCCAGAGAAAUCUGGUCUAAUACCGCAUAACCUCUACGGAGAAAAGCUUCGGCGGUUUGGGAAUGGCCUGCGUCUGAUUAGCUAGUUGGUAAGGUAAAAGCUUACCAAGGCGAUGAUCAGUAGCUGGUUUGAGAGGAUGAUCAGCCACACUGGAACUGAGACACGGUCCAGACUUCUACGGAAGGCAGCAGUAGGGAAUCUUCCACAAUGGACGAAAGUCUGAUGGGAGCAACGCCGCGUGCAGGAUGAAUGCCUUCGGGUUGUAAACUGCUUUUAUAGGUGAAAGAAAUAUGACGGUAACCUAAUGAAUAAGGAUCGGCUAACUUCCGGUGCCAGCAGCCGCGGUCAGAACGGAG
rnacentral:rRNA from 1 species